UUUUUUUGGAUACCAAAUUUCUUUAUUUGAAGGAAUGGUACAAAGAACUUAAGUGGAUGUUUUGGUACAACUUAUAGAAAAGGUAAAGGAAACCCCAAUAUGCAUGCACUGCCUUGGUGACCAGGGAAGUCACCCUGUGGCUAUGGGGAAAUUAGCCUAAGGCUUAGCUUUCAUUAUCACUGUCUCCCAGGGUGUGCUUGUCAAAGAGAUAUUCUGCCAAGCCAGAUUGGGGUGCUCCCAUCUUGCGCAAGUUGGUCACAUGGUCACCCAAUUCUUUGAUGGAUUUCACCUGCUCAUUCAGGUAAUGUGUCUCAAUGAAGUCACACAAAUGGGGGUCACUUUGU